rnacentral:rRNA from 1 species
UGGGGAAUUUUGGACAAUGGGCGCAAGCCUGAUCCAGCCAUACCGCGUGAGUGAAGAAGGCCUUCGGGUUGUAAAGCUCUUUCAGUCGAGAAGAAAAGGUUGUGACCAAUAAUCACAACUCAUGACGGUAUCGACAGAAGAAGCACCGGCUAACUACGUGCCAGCAGCCGCGGUAAUACGUAGGGUGCGAGCGUUAAUCGGAAUUACUGGGCGUAAAGGGUGCGCAGGCGGUUUUGUAAGCCAGAUGUGAAAUCCCCGGGCUUAACCUGGGAACUGCGUUUGAAACUACAAGACUAGAGUGUGGCAGAGGGGGGUGAAUUCCAUGUGUAGCAGUGAAAUGCGUAGAGAUAUGGAAGAACAUCGAUGGCGAAGGCAGCCCCCUGGGUUAACACUGACGCUCAUGCACGAAAGCGUGGGGAGCAAACAGGAUUAGAUACCCCCGUAGUCCCUGAGCGGGCUGGCAAGGCGCAU